rnacentral:rRNA from 1 species
UACAGAGGGCCCGAGCGUUGUUCGGAUUCAUUGGGCGUAAAGGGCGCGUAGGCGGCUUGGCAAGUGGAUGGUGAAAUCCCUCGGCUUAACCGAGGAACUGCCGUCCAAACUGCUUUGCUUGAGACCGGGAGAGGUGAGUGGAAUUCCCAGUGUAGCGGUGAAAUGCGUAGAUAUUGGGAGGAACACCAGUGGCGAAGGCGGCUCACUGGACCGGUACUGACGCUGAUGCGCGAAAGCGUGGGGAGCAAACGGG